AAUGAACGCUGGCGGCAGGCCUAACACAUGCAAGUCGAGCGAGGACUUCGGUAGUAGCGGCGUACGGGUGAGUAACGCGUGGGAACGUGCCCUUUGCUUCGGAAUAGCUCUGGGAAACUGGGAGUAAUACCGGAUGAGACCUAUGGGGGCAAGAUUUAUCGGCGAAGGAUCGGCCCGCGUUGGAUUAGCUAGUUGGUGAGGUAAUGGACUACCAAGGUGACAAUCCAUAGCUGGUUUGAGAGGAUGAUCAGCCACACUGGGACUGAGACACGGCCCAGACUCCUGCGGGAGGCAGGAGUGGGGAAUCUGAGACAAUGGGGGAAACCCUGAGCUAGCCAUGCCGCGUGAGCGAUGAAGGCCUGAGGGUUGUAAAGCUCUGUCAGCUGGGAAGAUAAUGACGGUACCAGCAGAAGAAGCCCCGGCUAACUCCGUG
rnacentral:rRNA from 1 species